AACGAACGCUGGCGGCAGGCUUAACACAUGCAAGUCGAACGCCCCGCAAGGGGAGGGGCAGACGGGCGAGUAACGCGUGGGAAUCUACCUAGUUCUACGGAACAACAGUGGGAAACGACUGCUAAUACCGUAUACGCACUAUGGGGGAAAGAUUUAUCGGAAUUAGAUGAGCACGCGUAAGACUAGCUAGUUGGUGGGGUAAUGGCUCACGAAGGCGACGAUCUUUAGCUGGUCUGAGAGGAUGAUCAGCCACACUGGGACUGAGACACGGCCCAGGCUCCUACGGGAGGGAGCGGUGGGGAAUAUUGGACAAUGGGCGCAAGCCUGAUCCAGCCAUGCCGCGUGAGUGAUGAAGGCCUUAGGGUUGUAAAGCUCUUUCAGUAGGGAAGAUAAUGACGGUACCUACAGAAGAAGCCCCGGCUAACUUCGUGCCAGCCGCCGCCGUAAAAC
rnacentral:rRNA from 1 species